rnacentral:sRNA from 1 species
GUUCGAUUCGAGCGCAGCGAGAAAGCGUUGCCGUAGGCAACGACCCGAAGGGCGAAGCGCGCAGCGCUGAGUAAUCCUUCCCCCACCACCA